CCGGAAUCACUGGGCGUAAAGCGUCUGUAGGUGGUUUAGUAAGUCUGUUGUUAAAGAUUAGGGCUCAACCCUAAAUAGGCAGUGGAAACUACUAGACUAGAGCACGGUAGAGGUAGAGGGAAUUCCCAGUGUAGCGGUGAAAUGCGUAGAUAUUGGGAAGAACACCAGUGGCGAAAGCGCUCUACUGGGCUGUUGCUGACACUGAGAGACGAAAGCUAAGGUAGCAAACGGGAUUAGAUACCCCAGUAGUCCUAGCCGUAAA
rnacentral:rRNA from 12 species